UACGGCCGUAUCACUUUGAAAUGUAGGUUCCCGUAUGUUCAUCGAAGUUAAGCAACGUCGAGCCUUGUCAGUACAUAGAUGGGAGACCGUUUGGGAAUACCAGAUGCUGUAAG